rnacentral:rRNA from 1 species
CCUACGGGAGGCAGCAGUGAGGAAUAUUGGUCAAUGGGCGCGAGCCUGAACCAGCCAAGUAGCGUGAAGGAUGGCUGCCCUACGGGUUGUAAACUUCUUUUAUAUAGGAAUAAAGUGAGGCACGUGUGCCUUUUUGUAUGUACUUUAUGAAUAAGGACCGGCUAACUCCGUGCUAGCAGCCGCGGUAAUACGGAGGAUCCUAGCGUUAUCCGGAUUUAUUGGGUAUAAAGGGAGCGUAGAUGGGUUGUUAAGUCAGUUGUGAAAGUUUGCGGCUCAACCGUAAAAUUGCAAUUGAUACUGGCAGUCUUGAGUACAGUUGAGGUAGGCGGAAUUCGUGGUGUAGCGGUGAAAUGCGUAGAUAUCACGAAGAACUCCGAUUGCGAAGGCAGCUUACUAAACUGCCACUGACAUUGAGGCUCGAAAGUGUGGGUAGCAAACAGGAUUAGAUACCCCAGUAGUC